rnacentral:rRNA from 1 species
ACAGCUCAAAUUUGAAAUCUGGUCCCCAGGGCCCGAGUUGUAAUUUGUAGAGGAUGCUUUUGGCGCGGCGCCUUCCGAGUUCCCUGGAACGGGACGCCAUAGAGGGUGAGAGCCCCGUCUGGUCGGAUGCCUAGCCUCUGUAAAGCUCCUUCGACGAGUCGAGUAGUUUGGGAAUGCUGCUCAAAAUGGGAGGUAUAUGUCUUCUAAAGCUAAAUACCGGCCAGAGACCGAUA